rnacentral:rRNA from 1 species
AAUCAACGCUGGCGGCGUGCCUAACACAUGCAAGUCGAGCGCGAAAGGGGAGCAAUCCCCAAGUAGAGCGGCGAACGGGUGAGUAACGCGUGGGUAAUCUACCUUCGAGUGGGGAAUAACAGCGGGAAACUGCUGCUAAUACCGCAUGACAUCGUCGAUCCUUCGGGAGUGACGAUCAAAGCCGGGGACCGCAAGGCCUGGCGCUUGAAGACGAGCCCGCGUCCGAUUAGCUAGUUGGCGGGGUAAUGGCCCACCAAGGCUCCGAUCGGUAGCCGGCCUGAGAGGGCGGACGGCCACACUGGGACUGAGAUACGGCCCAGACUCCUACGGAAGGCAGCAGUGGGGAAUUUUUUCGCAAUGGGGGAAACCCUGACGAAGCAACGCCGCGUGGAGGAUGAAGGCCUUCGGGUCGUAAACUCCUGUCGACCGGGACGAACGCUA